rnacentral:rRNA from 1 species
ACGGGUGAGUAACACGUGACUAACCUACCCUCGAGUGGGGAAUAACCUCGGGAAACCGGGGCUAAUACCGCAUAACAUCUUCGGAUCAAAUGCGUAAGCAGCUUGAGGAGGGGGUCGCGGCCGAUUAGCUAGUUGGCGGGGUAAUGGCCCACCAAGGCAAUGAUCGGUAGCCGGCCUGAGAGGGCGCACGGCCACACUGGAACUGAAACACGGUCCAGACUCCUACGGGAGGCAGCAGUGGGGAAUUUUGCGCAAUGGGGGAAACCCUGACGCAGCAACGCCGCGUGGAGGAUGAAGCCCUUUGGGGCGUAAACUCCUUUCGAUCGGGACGAUUAUGACGGUACCGGAAGAAGAAGCACCGGCUAACUCUGUGCCAGCAGCCGCGG